UUAUUAUGAUGAAUUCUCUAUUUGUGAAGUUGCCUAUUUGCAAAAAUUUCCUUUUUGCAACCACACCAAAGAUUGGAAAGUCCUCUCCUGGGUAGGCCCAUUGCAUUUUUAGGAAGUUCUAUUAGAAUGUUGUUUUUCUCCCCAUCCAACUAGAAUCCGCAUCCCUGAGAUCCUCCAAAUCAGUACUCGUGGUGCCUUUGCAGUCAUUUGCGGACAUGCAUAGAGCGAUGAAAAAUUUGUUGAUAAAAAUACAGAUUCUGAGCCCCAUCUAGAUCUACUAAGUCAGAAACACUGGAGUAUUUUUAACAAGCUUCCCACCCAGGUUUUCUGAUGUGUACCUGAUUUGGGAGUGACAGAUCUGAAUUACAUACAAGUCAAAGAUUGGAGAGUCCUCUCCUAGUUCGGCCCAUUUCAUUUUUAGAAAGCUCUAUUAGAAUGUUGUUUUUCCUCCCAUCCCACUAGAAUCUGCAUCCCUGAGAUCCCCCAAAUCAGUACUCAUGGUGCCUUUGCAGUUGUUUGUGGAUAAGCAUAGAGUGAUGAAGAAUUUGAGUUAUCCGACAUGGAUGUUCCCAGAUGAUGUUGAAUAAGUGAUUUUGCUGUUUAAAAUGCCUCCUUCCUCCGAAGCUUCGUAUUGAAGUGGUGUCCAGUAUUCCUAAGCAGAAGGCUGCGAAGUGUCUCACAGAGAAAAUAUGUGUGUUAGAUAAGCUUCAUUCAGGAAUCAAAUGGAAUGGAAGGAUUGAGGCUGAAUGUCUCCCACUGCAAAUUGGGCAAAGGCUCUAGAAGCUGGUUCCAGCUACCUGGGAGGCUGACGCAGGACGAUCCCUUGAGCCCAGGAGUUCGAGGUUACAGUGAGCUACUGGUUGCACCAUUGCACUCCAGCCUAGGUGACUGAGUGAGACCUUGACUCUUACAUCCCUGAAUUUAUUAACUGCACUAUAGUUAUAUAAGAGAAUAUCUUUGUUCCUAGGAAAUGCAGCCUGAAGUAUUUACAUGGCAAAGUACACAGUGUACUCUCAAAAAUGGUUCAGAAAAAAAAGUCACAGAAUUUCUUCAUACUAGUCUUGGAACUUGAAAUAUGAAGUUAUUUCAAAAUAAAAAGUUUUAAAAUGUUCUGCCUUUAAAAAUACCUGUAGAUUUGCUGGAAUUACCCUAUUUGAUUUCACAUAUGUCCAUAUAACCAUUAAAACAAGCAGUACAUUAGCUGCUGUAAGGAAGGGUUAGUAGCACAUUAAAAAAUGAUCUCAAAUGUUAGCAAGACCAGGACACAUUUUUCCAUAUUGCGUUUUAUUGCUUCUGAGAUCAUAUGUGAACAUUUUGGAAAUCCAGAUGAAUCUUGUAGUUGGUGGUAUAUACCAUAAUUUGAUUGUAGCUUUUCUUUUCCUUUUUGGUGCUACAUAAAAUAACGAUCUGAUGAACCUGAGAUUUGAUAAAAUAUGGUAGUCAGUGGUCCCGUAGGUCUUCGGUUAAUUUAAAAGAACACAGUAAGU
rnacentral:lncRNA from 1 species